rnacentral:rRNA from 1 species
GCAUAUCACUAAGCGGAGGAAAAGAAACCCACCAGGGAUUGCCUCCAGUAACGGCGAGUGAAGCGGCAACAGCUCAAAUUUGAAAUCUGGCCGCAAGGUCCGAGUUGUAAUUUGUAGAGGAUGCUUUUGGCGAGGUGCCUUCCGAGUUCCCUGGAACGGGACGCCAUAGAGGGUGAGAGCCCCCGUACGGUUGGACCACCGAGCCUCUGUAAAGCUCCCUUCGACGAGUCGAGUAGUUUGGGAAUGCUGCUCUAAAUGGGAGGUGUACGUCUUCUAAAGCUAAAUACCGGCCAGAGACCGAUAGCGCACAAGUAGAGUGAUCGAAAGAUGAAAAGCACUUUGAAAAGAGGGUUAAAAAGUACGUGAAAUUGUUGAAAGGGAAGCAUUCAUGACCAGACUUGGGCUUGGUUGAACAUCCGGCGUUCUCGCCGGUGCACUCUGCCAGUCCAGGCCAGCAUCAGUUUGCCCCGGGGGAUAAAGGCGGUGGGAAUGUGGCUCCCUUCGGGGAGUGUUAUAGCCCGCCGUGUAAUGCCCUGGGGCGGACUGAGGAACGCGCUUCGGCACGGAUGCUGGCGUAAUGGUCAUCAAUGACCCGUCUUGAAACACGGACCAAGGAGUCGUCUUCGUAUGCGAGUGUUCGGGUGUCAAACCCCUACGCGUAAUGAAAGUGAACGUAGGUGAGAGCUUCGGCGCAUCACCGACCGAUCCUGAUGUUCUCGGAUGGAUUUGAGUAAGAGCAUACGGGGCCGGACCCGAAAGAAGGUGAACUAUGCCUGUAUAGGGUGAAGCCAGAGGAAACUCUGGUGGAGGCUCGCAGCGGUUCUGACGUGCAAAAUCGAUCGUCAAAUAUGGCAUGGGGCGAAAGAC